rnacentral:rRNA from 1 species
CGGAUCUGUUCAUUUGCAGGGGGCUGGAUCCCAGGGGCAGAGUUGCGGUCCUCCAUAGCUGACGGGGAAGAAGCAUGGGAUCUGGAGCAGGAGCCCUGCUGGCGCUUGUGGCAGCAUGUCUAGCGCUUGCCCCGCCCUGCGCUCUGGCUUCUUCUCGCAAGUUUGGUCUGGAUAUUGCGCAACCAAAAUUACUGAACUCCACAAAUGGUUCAUUUACUCCAAGCUCACAUGUUGAUUUUGACCCUUCAAAAUCAAAGCGACUCUCGUGGCAUCCAAGGUUUUCUCUCUCACAUGGAGUGUGACCACUUAGUAUCUAUGGCACAUGGUAAGAUAGGGUCAUCUGUACAUGUUAAUGAUGGUGCUACAAAUAUUUCCCAGAACAAUAUUGAUGCAGGCCUCAUAUUUCGCCUGGCUGAUAGCAAAGACAUAGUUGUUUCGAAGAUUGAAGAUAGGAUAUCAUUAUGGAGUUUUAUUCCAAAAGAGCAUGGGGAGAGCAUGCAGAUUUUGAAGUAUGGAGCAAACCAAAGUGACCCUAACAAGGAAGAAACUCAAUCGAGCAGUGGUGCCAAUAGGCUUGUGACCAUUUUGAUGUAUCUUUCUGAUAUCAAGCAAGGUGGUGAAACUGUUUUCCCCAGAUCUGAGCUGAAGGAUACUCAAGCCAAGGAAGGGACACCUUCUGAAUGUGCUGGUUAUGCAGUGAAACCUGUCAAGGGCAACACAGUUCUGCUGUUCAAUUCAAGGCCUGACAGAGUCGCCGACAAGGACAGUCAGUACGAGUUCUGUCCUGUCGUCGAAGUGGAGAAAUGGCUUGCCAUAAAACAUAUGUAUGCAAGCAAGAUUGAUAAAUCAAAACCUUCGCCGGCAUCCGAGGAUGAUGAUUGCACCGAUGAAGAUGGUAACUGUGUCAGUUGGGCCGCUGCCGGCGAAUGCGACAAGAAUCCUGUGUUUAUGAUUGGCAGUUCAGACUACUAUGGCACUUGCAGGAAGAGCUGCCAUGCGUGCUAGAUUUUUUUUUUUUUGUUUUCGUGCAUUGCCCUUAGAGAUGUCUCUUAGCAUUUUCGUUGUUUAAUACAGGCAUUGGUGUUGUAAGUGGAAAAUGAUUCAGCAAACUGUGCAAUGCCCGCAGAUAAUCUUUACUCUUGUCAGGAAUGUAGUAAGUACAUAGGUAUUGGAUUGGCUACUCUUAUAAAGUUAUGAAAAAUGAUUCUGACC